UACGAAGGGGGCUAGCGUUGUUCGGAAUUACUGGGCGUAAAGCGCACGUAGGUGGCAUGUUAAGUUUGAUGUGAAAGCUCAGGGCUUAACCCUGAAAUGGCAUUGAAUACUAGCGUGCUGGAGGUUUGGAGGGGGGACUGGAAUUCUCGGUGUAGCGGUGAAAUGCGUAGAGAUCGGGAGGAACAUCAGUGGCGAAGGCGGCCCUCUGGACCAGUACUGACGCUGAGGCACGAAAGCGUGGGGAGCAAACAGG
rnacentral:rRNA from 1 species